CAAGUAUAUCAAACAAUCUUUAGGAACAGGCUCACUGCAUAUCUUCUGUUGUUGGCAUUGUUGCCUCCUAUUACUACCCUGUUACUUAUGUCGUUCAUAACAAUCUCGCCAACAAAUGAAGAUGAUGAGAAGAAGCAUCUUAAUGGUUUCUCAUUGAUUGCUCUGGUUCUGGCUUCUUAUCUCAUGGCUGAAAUCAUUGUGGGAAACAUUUUCUCUUUACAACUGUCUGUUCGCAUCAUUACUUUUGCUGUACUCAUUUUCUUGCUGCUUUCCCCGAUUUCUGUUGCGAUCAAUGUCCACAAGGAAAAGUCUUAUAGAAUAAUUAAAUACUUACUCGAGCAAAACUCACCGGAAGAUGAGCAAAAUAGAUCUCAGGCGCAUUUUGUGGACAUG
rnacentral:misc_RNA from 1 species